CCUCUGCCCCACCAUAAGGACUUUGAUAUGUACCAGAGGCUGCUUUUGCUGUGUUGAAACUGUAGAAGAAGAGGGAGGAGGGGAAAAAGGGAGGCCGUGGACCAACUUUUUCAUCUCGCUGGCAAGGGGCAGCAGCGAGUACUAUGGGCAGAGAGGAACCACCAUAGUUAUCCCAAUUCAAGCGGCAGUGCCGAGGCAAUACUGCAUAUUCAUGGCUUUUGCGGUAGUGCCAAAUAAGCCAGAUGAAAUUCCCACCUGAUUAUGAAGUAUCAAAAAAUACAGCCUGCACAGCUGUUAAACAAAGGAAUUCAGACAAACAGAAGGAAAACAAAAAUCCUCUGAAAAAGCAAUAUCCUUCUCUCCCUACGUAAGUUUCUACAUACUUGGGGAACGCUAUUAUACUGUCUCUUUGCUGACUGGUCAAUUUACCUGCCAUUAAUUAAAACACAGACAUAGGACAGCACAAAUUAUUGCAGUCUGAAUUACUUUGAAAAUACAUGAGUACUACUCAAUAGACUUUGAUUUCAUUGACAUUUUCAAUUAAAAAAGUAAUUCUUUGUGAAAACUAACCACUGUUAUAUUUAUUCUUUUUGAUCAAUGCAUUCUUGAGCUCCAAAAGCAUGAAAUAAUGAUUACAUUAACUUUUCUAUGUAUGAGCACUUUUUAGUCUUAAUUCAUGAGUUACUUUGUGUUACUGUUUAAUACAACCUCAGCACAAUGUGAAGAAAGGGACUAGUACUAUGAUGAAAUACCAACUAUUCUUUAAAAUGUUUUUGACUAAUACAGUCAAGUUCGCUUUUUCAGUCUGCUCAAGAAAGCCUCGAGCAGUUAUGUUGAAAACUCUCCCUUCAUAAAUUUUCUAGUAGGGCACUUUUACUAUUUCCUUAAUAAUUACAUAUAUACAUAUUCGACAAAAACUCAAGAUUUCAUAGAACGAGAGAGUCGAAAUAUGUUGUCUGAAGCCACCUCCCCAUACUGAAGUUUCAUCCUAUUGUUGCAGUCAUCAGUGGGCCUGAUCCCGUAACCAGGACGAUUCAACAAACUUUAUUCGUGGGGAUAGUUCCUCUGAAAUUAACUGACCUAUUUUACGGAGCAGUGAUUCUUGGACAUCUCUGUGUUGGAUAAGAAUCAGGUCUAGAAUUAAUAAAAAUAAAUUAAAGGAAUUCCGUGACUGUGCA
rnacentral:lncRNA from 1 species